AAAUUGACGGGGACCCGCACAAGCGGUGGAUGAUGUGGAUUAAUUCGAUGCAACGCGAAGAACCUUUACCUACCCUUUGACAUGUCCGGAACUUGCCAGAGAUGGCUUGGGUGCCCGAAAGGGAAUCGGAACACAGGUGCUGCAUGGCUGUCGUCAGCUCGUGUCGUGAGAUGUUGGGUUAAGUCCCGCAACGAGCGCAACCCUUAUCAUUAGUUGCUACGCAAGGGCACUCUAAUGAGACUGCCGGUGACAAACCGGAGGAAGGUGGGGAUGACGUCAAGUCCUCAUGGCCCUUAUGGGUAGGGCUUCACACGUCAUACAAUGGUCGGUACAGAGGGUUGCCAAGCCGCGAGGCGGAGCCAAUCCCACAAAGCCGAUCGUAGUCCGGAUUGUUCUCUGCAACUCGAGAGCAUGAAGUCGGAAUCGCUAGUAAUCGCAGGUCAGCAUACUGCGGUGAAUACGUUCCCGGGUCUU
rnacentral:rRNA from 1 species